rnacentral:pre_miRNA from 1 species
ACAUUUAGGAUCUGAUUCAAAGCCCAUUGAAGUCUGUGGGAGUCUUGCCAUGGACUACAAAGGGCUUUGACUCAAGCCCUUACUGC